rnacentral:rRNA from 1 species
UACGUAGGGGGCGAGCGUUGCCCGGAUUCAUUGGGCGUAAAGGGCGCGUAGGCGGCCCGGUGCGUCCCGCGUGAAAUCGCCCGGCUCAACUGGGCGGGGUCGCGGGAAACGAUCGGGCUGGAGCUCGGCAGGGGGCCAUGGAAUUCCCGGUGUAGUGGUGGAAUGCGUAGAGAGUCGGGAGGAACACCCCGUGGCGAAGGCGGUGGCCUGGGCCGAUGCUGACGCUGAGGCGCGAAAGCGUGGGGAGCGAUCCGG